UACGUAGGGUGCGAGCGUUAAUCGGAAUUACUGGGCGUAAAGGGUGCGCAGGCGGUUAUAUAAGACCGAUGUGAAAUCCCCGGGCUUAACCUGGGAACUGCAUUGGUGACUGCACGGCUAGAGUGUGUCAGAGGGGGGUAGAAUUCCACGUGUAGCAGUGAAAUGCGUAGAGAUGUGGAGGAAUACCGAUGGCGAAGGCAGCCCCCUGGGAUAACACUGACGCUCAUGCACGAAAGCGUGGGGAGCAAACAGG
rnacentral:rRNA from 1 species